AGUGGGGAAUCUUGCGCAAUGGGCGAAAGCCUGACGCAGCAACGCCGCGUGCGGGAUGACGGCCUUCGUGGUUGUAAACCGCUUUCAGCAGGGACGAAAUUGACGGUACCUGCAGAAGAAGCCCCGGCUAACUACGUGCCAGCAGCCGCGGUAAUACGUAGGGGGCAAGCGUUGUCCGGAAUCAUUGGGCGUAAAGAGCUCGUAGGCGGUUCAGUAAGUCGGGUGUGAAAGCUCCGAGCUCAACUCGGAGAGGCCACUCGAUACUGCUGUGACUAGAAUCCAGUAGGGGAGUGUGGAACUCCUGGUGUAGCGGUGAAAUGCGCAGAUAUCAGGAAGAACACCAGCGGCGAAGGCGGCACUCUGGGCUGGUAUUGACGCUGAGGAGCGAAAGUGUGGGUAGCAAA
rnacentral:rRNA from 1 species